AUGCUAUUUGUGGUGUAGUGUGUGAAUAGUAGAAUGAUUGUUCAGACUCACUUCUGUCAAUUAUUUGUUUACAGACUUGGUUUUGAAAUUUAGUUGUAAUAAACCCAUGUCCAUCAUGAUAACUGCCAACAUGGUCUGUUUUAUAGCAUCACUAUUUCUCAAUAUUUUAGAGUUGAAAACAUAGUUGAUGCAAAAAUGAGAUAAAAAA
rnacentral:misc_RNA from 1 species